ensembl:lncRNA
GAGUCAGAAUUCAGGCUUCUCUUUUGCUAAAAGCGUAGGAAGUAAAGACAAACACAUCCGGUUCCAGGUCAGCCUCCAAAGGGGAUGUGUUCACUUCUUCCUCCCUGCAGUGAUUCACAGCUGGGCGGAGAACCUCCACACUGACCCCUCACUCUGCCUGAGGACCAGGCUGGGUUCCUGUGGCCCAGUCUCCAGGUACCUGUGCAGAUGGGAGAGGCUGCAGCCCAAGGGCAGCUCCCGAGUGAGGUGAAGCUGAGUGGCAGGAGCCUGCUCAGUGAUGACUCAACCCUACAAGGGCUCCAGGAGCAUGGGAGAUGGCACUGUAAAUAUGAGACUAACACAGCAUGAAUAUUCCAGCCUAUGAGGCUUCCAGCCAGGGGUGAAAUGCCUAUUAAGGACAUCAGCCCUUGGUUCCAGGGAAGCAAGGGGAGAUCUGGGUCAGACCUAGGCUCAGUUUUGCCCCCCACCCCCCGCCCCACCACAACAAGCAGCAAAUGUGAAGGUGGAUACUUCACAUUUGGUAGAGGAGGGUAGCCAGACACC